rnacentral:rRNA from 1 species
UACGGGGGGAGCAAGCGUUGUUCGGAUUUACUGGGCGUAAAGGGCGCGUAGGCGGCGUGACAAGUCACUUGUGAAAUCUCCGGGCUUAACUCGGAACGGUCAAGUGAUACUGUCGGGCUAGAGUGCGGAAGAGGCGAGUGGAAUUCCUGGUGUAGCGGUGAAAUGCGCAGAUAUCAGGAGGAACACCAAUUGCGAAGGCAGCUCGCUGGGACGUAACUGACGCUGAGACGCGAAAGCGUGGGGAGCAAACAGG